UACCAGCACCCGAGUGGUCGGGACGUUUAUUGGGCCUAAAGCAUCCGUAGCCGGUUUACAAGUCUUCCUGUUAAAUCCACCUGCUUAACAGAUGGGCUGCGGAAGAUACUAUGGAGCUAGGAGGCGGGAGAGGCAAGCGGUACUCGAUGGGUAGGGGUAAAAUCCGUUGAUCCAUUGAAGACCACCAGUGGCGAAGGCGGCUUGCCAGAACGCGCUCGACGGUGAGGGAUGAAAGCUGGGGAGCAACCGG
rnacentral:rRNA from 1 species